UAGGUUGUUCAGGAAAAUAAACUGCGAC
rnacentral:sRNA from 1 species